rnacentral:rRNA from 1 species
CCUACGGGGUGCUGCAGUGGGGAAUAUUGCACAAUGGGGGAAACCCUGAUGCAGCGACGCCGCGUGAGUGAAGAAGUAUUUCGGUACGUAAAGCUCUAUCAGCAGGGAAGAAAAUGACGGUACCUGACUAAGAAGCCCCGGCUAACUACGUGCCAGCAGCCGCGGUAAUACGUAGGGGGCAAGCGUUAUCCGGAUUUACUGGGUGUAAAGGGAGCGUAGACGGCAGCGCAAGUCUGGAGUGAAAUCCCAUGGCUUAACCAUGGAACUGCUUUGGAAACUGUGCAGCUAGAGUGCAGGAGAGGUAAGCGGAAUUCCUAGUGUAGCGGUGAAAUGCGUAGAUAUUAGGAGGAACACCAGUGGCGAAGGCGGCUUACUGGACUGUAACUGACGUUGAGGCUCGAAAGCGUGGGGAGCAAACAGGAUUAGAUACCCCGGUAGUC